rnacentral:rRNA from 1 species
UACGUAGGGAGCAAGCGUUGUCCGGAAUCAUUGGGCGUAAAGCGCGCGUAGGUGGCCCGGUAAGUCCGCUCUGAAAGUCGCAGGCUCAACCUGUGAAAGCGGGUGGAUACUGCCGGGCUAGAGUCCGGAAGAGGCGAGUGGAAUUCCUGGUGUAGCGGUGGAAUGCGCAGAUAUCAGGAGGAACACCAACGGCGAAGGCAGCUCGCUGGGACGGUACUGACACUGAGGCGCGAAAGCGUGGGGAGCGAACAGG